rnacentral:lncRNA from 10 species
UUUGUAAACAACAGAAAUGUAUUUCUCAUAGUGCUGCAUGCUGGAAGUCUGAGAUCAUGGUGUCAGCAUUGCCAGAUUCUGAUGAAGGUCCUCUUCUAUUGCAGGCUGCUGACUUCCUAUUGAAUGCUCACAUUGUGGAAAGAGGAUGAGACAGCUCUCUGCAGCCUCUUUUCCCCGGGCAGUGAGGGGCUUAGCACCCGGGCCAGCAGCUGCUGAGGGUGCGCCGGGUCCCCCAGCAGUGCUGGCCCACCAGGGCUAUACUCGAUUUCUCGUGGGGCCUUAGCUGCCUCCACACAGGGCAGAGCUCAGGACCUGCAGCCUGCCAUGCCUGAGCCCCCCAGCCGCCGCCCCCGCCGUGGGCUCCUUCACUGCCCGAGACUCCCUGAUGAGUGCUGCCCCCUGCUCCAGGGCGCCCGGUCCCAUCGACCACCCAAGGGCUGAGGAGUGUGGGCUCACGGCGGGGGACUGGCAGGCAGCUCUACCUGCGGCCGGGUUUGGGAUCCACUGGGUGAAGCAAGCUGGGCUCCUGAGUCUAGUGGGGACUUGGAGAACCUUUAUGUCUAGCUAAGGGAUUGUAAAAACACCAAUCAGCACUAUGUGUCUACCUCAAGGUUUGUAAAUGCACCAGUCAGCACUCUGUGUCUAGCUCAAGGUUUGUAAAUACACCAGUCAGCACUCUGUAUCUAGCUAAUCUAGUGGGGACUUGGAGAACUUUUGUGUCUAGCUCAGGGAUUGUAAACGCACCAAUCAGCACCCUGUCAAAACGGACCAAUCAGCUCUCUGUAAAAUGGACCAAUCAGCAGGAUGUGGGUGGGGCCACAUAAGAGAAUAAACGCAGGCUUCCAGAGCCGGCAGAGGCAACCCGCACAUACCUUUUCACAGUGUGGCAUCUUUGUUCUUUUGCUCUUUGCGAUAUAGCUUGCUGCUGCUCACUCUUUGGGUCCACACUGUAACACUCACCGCGAAGGUCUGAAGCUUCACUCCUGAGCCCAGCGAGACCACGAACCCACCAGGAGGAAUGAACAACUCCAGACGCGCUGCCUUAAGAGCUGUAACACUCACUGCGAAGGUCUGCAGCUUCACUCCUGAGCCAGCGAGACCACACACCCACCAGAAGGAAGAAACUCCUAACACAUCCAAAUAUCAGAAGGAACAAACCGGGGACAUGACGCCUUUAAGAACUGUGACACUGCGAGGGUCCGCAGCUUCAUUCUUGAAGUCAGUGAGACCAAGAACCCACCAAUUCUGGACACACUCUCAGCCUUCAGAAUCGUGAUCAGUAAAUUUCUGUUCUUUAUAAAUUACUCAGUGUCAUGUAUUCUGUUAUAGGGGCACAAAACAGACUCAGACAGAAGGUAAUCAGAAAAGUUAUGAGACAUUCUGGUUCUAAGGAAAACAUUAGUAAAGCAAUAUUAGUAAAGCAAUGACAGUAAAGCAAUAUGGAAGACUUUAUUCAAGAUUUCUAUUGUAGAUGUCAACACUCUUGCACUAAGCGGGGAG